GACGAACGCUGGCGGCGUGCUUAACACAUGCAAGUCGAACGGCAAGGCCCUGCUUUUGUGGGGUGCUCGAGUGGCGAACGGGUGAGUAACACGUGAGUAUCCUGCCCUUGACUUUGGGAUAACUUCAGGAAACUGGGGCUAAUACCGGAUAGGAGCUCCUGCUGCAUGGUGGGGGUUGGAAAGUUUCGGCGGUUGGGGAUGGACUCGCGGCUUAUCAGCUUGUUGGUGGGGGAGUGGCUUACCAAGGCUUUGACGGGUAGCCGGCCUGAGCGGGUGACCGACCACAUUGGGACUGAGAUAAGGCCCAGACGCGUAAGGGAGGAAGAAGGGGGGAAUAUUGAACAAGGGGCGGAAGGCGGAUGAAGAAACGCCGCGUGCGGGAAAACGGCCUUCGGGGUGUAAAACGCUGUCGCCUGUGACGAAGCGUGAGUGACGGUAAUGGGUAAAGAAGCACCGGCUAACUACGUG
rnacentral:rRNA from 1 species